rnacentral:rRNA from 1 species
UUAAAUUGAAGAGUUUGAUCAUGGCUCAGAUUGAACGCUGGCGGCAGGCCUAACACAUGCAAGUCGAACGGUAACAGGAAGCAGCUUGCUGCUUUGCUGACGAGUGGCGGACGGGUGAGUAAUGUCUGGGAAACUGCCUGAUGGAGGGGGAUAACUACUGGAAACGGUAGCUAAUACCGCAUAAUGUCGCAAGACCAAAGAGGGGGACCUUCGGGCCUCUUGCCAUCGGAUGUGCCCAGAUGGGAUUAGCUUGUUGGUGGGGUAACGGCUCACCAAGGCGACGAUCCCUAGCUGG